AUCAGAGGGCGCGGUUUUAAAGAAGGCCGACGUUGUAGUCAGAGAAGAAGAAAGCAAACAGGAAGUGGCUACUUGAAUUUUUCUUCUUUUUCAGCUAAAAUGUGGCUUAUAAAUGUUGUAAUCUUUGCAUAAAGGACAAGACAGACUGGUGAGUGCGGCCCUCAGAGGAAAAAGUUUGGACACCUCUGGCGUACAAGGACAACACAGACUGGUGGUGUAAGGUCCUGUUGACCUUGCUGGGCGCACUCAGCGGCAUCAUGGACAACAACUUGGUCUCCUCUCUCGCCACUCCUGUCUGAAAACAAAAGCGUAUUUCCCACGACCUUGAAAGGAGCAGACGCCACGCAGAGACACCCGGGUUGUUGCACGCUUGUGUUGCAGACUGUGAGGCAGGCGGGACAUGAGUUACCAGGAUCAAACACCACCUCUUCCCCCGGAAGGCUCCGUACACGCCGAGCAGGGACAGAAGCAGGCAGGACGUCUCCAGGAUGUAGAGAAUCACCACCGACGUAUUGGACACCAGCUGAGGAAACACACACCUUUUAUCCUCCUAAAUACAAACCCUGUUUCCAUAUGAGUUGGGAAAUUGUGUUAGAUGUAAAUAUAAACAGAAUACAAUGAUUUGCAAAUCCUUUUCAACCCAUAUUCAGUUGAAUAUGCUACAAAGACAACAUAUUUGAUGUUCAAACUCAUAAACGUGACAAAAAAGUUGGAAAAGGUGGCAAUAAAUACUGAUAAAGUUGAGGAAUGCUCAUCAAACACUUAUUUGGAACAUCCCACAGGUUUGCAGGCGAAUUGGGAACAGGUGGGUGCCAUGAUUGGCUAUAAAAACAGCUUCCCAAAAAAAUGCUCAGUCUUUCACAAGAAAGGAUGGGGCGAGGUACACCCCUUUGUCCACAACUGCGUGAGCAAAUAGUCAAACAGUUUAAGAACAACCUUUCUCAAAGUGCAAUUGGAAGAAAUUUAGGGAUUUCAACACCUACGCUCCAUAAUAUCAUCAAAAGGUUCAGAGAAUCUGGAAAAAUCACUCCACGUAAGCGGCAUGGCGGGAAACCAACAUUGAAUGACCGUGAAUUUCGAUUCGUCAGAUGGCACUGUAUCAAAACAGACAUCAAUCUCUAAAGGAUAUCACCACAUGGGCUCAGGAACACUUCAGAAAACCAUUGUCACUAAAUACAGUUUGUCGCUACAUCUGUAAGUGCAAGUUAAAGCUCUACUAUGCAAAGCGAAAGCCAUUUAUCAACAACAUCCAGAAACGCCGCCGGCUUCUCUGGGCCCGAAAUCAUCUACGAUGGACUGAUCCAAAGUGGAAAAGUGUUCUGUGGUCUGACAAGUCCACAUUUCAAAUUGUUUUUGGAAAUAUUCGACAUUGUGCCAUCCGGACCAAAGGGGAAGCGAACCAUCCAGACUGUUAUCGACGCAAAGUGUAAAAGCCAGCAUGUGUGAUGGUAUGGGGGUGCAUUAGUGCCCAAGGCAUGGGUAACUUACACAUCUGUGAAGGCACCAUUAAUGUACAUACAGGUUUUGGAACAACAUAUGCUGCCAUCUAAGCGCCGUCUUUUUCAUGGACGCCCCUGCUUAUUUCAGCAAGACAAUGCCAAGCUACAUUCAGCACGUGUUACAAAAGCGUGGCUUCGUUAAAAAAAGAGUGUGGGUACUUUCCUGGCCCGCCUGCAGUCCAGACCUGUCUCCCAUUGAAAAUGUGUGGUGCAUUAUGAAGCGUAAAAUAGGACAGCGGAGACCCCGGACUGUUGAAGGACUGAAGCUCUACAUAAAACAAGAAUGGGAAAGAAUUCCACUUUCAAAGCUUCAACAAUUAGUUUCCUCAGUUCCCAAACGUUUAUUGAGUGUUGUUAAAAGAAAAGGUGAUGUAACACAGUGGUGAACAUGCCCUUUCCCAACUACUUUGGCAUGUGUUGCAGCCAUGAAAUUCUAAGUAAAUUAUUAUUUGCCCAAAAAAAUAAAGUUCAUGAGUUUGAACAUCAAAUAUGUUGUCUU